rnacentral:rRNA from 1 species
GAUGAACGCUGGCGGCGUGCCUAACACAUGCAAGUCGAACGGACUCAUACUGAAACCUAGUGAUUUAUGAGUUAGUGGCGGACGGGUGAGUAACGCGUGGAUAACCUGCCGUAUACCGGGGGAUAACACUUAGAAAUAGGUGCUAAUACCGCAUAAGCGCACAGUGUCGCAUGACGCAGUGUGAAAAACUUCGGUGGUAUACGAUGGACCCGCGUCUGAUUAGCCAGUUGGCAGGGUAACGGCCUACCAAAGCGACGAUCAGUAGCCGGCCUGAGAGGGUGAACGGCCACAUUGGGACUGAGACACGGCCCAA